GACAAACUCAAAGCACUGAUAGAUUCCGGAACCGAUGUUUCUGUUUUCGACGAUGAGGGUCUUACCCCUCUUAUGCAUGCGGCCAAGCAUGGCCAUGCCGUGGUUGUUAAAACCCUUCUUGAAGCUGGCGCGCCAUGGAAUGCUCUCUCUCCUUCCGAUCUCUCAGCUGGCGAUUUUGCUCUGGAGGCUGGUCACCAGGAGGUCUUCCAGAUUCUUCUUAACGCCG
rnacentral:misc_RNA from 1 species